UACGUAGGGGGCAAGCGUUGUCCGGAAUCAUUGGGCGUAAAGCGCGUGUAGGCGGUUCAGUAAGUCUGCUGUGAAAGUCCAGGGCUCAACCCUGGGAUGCCGGUGGAUACUGCUGGGCUAGAGUACGGAAGAGGCGAGUGGAAUUCCCGGUGUAGCGGUGAAAUGCGCAGAUAUCAGGAGGAACACCAAUGGCGAAGGCAGCUCGCUGGGACGUGACUGACGCUGAGACACGAAAGCGUGGGGAGCAAACAGG
rnacentral:rRNA from 1 species